CGUCGUGAAGAGGGAAACAACCCAGACCGCCAGCUAAGGUCCCAAAGUCAUGGUUAAGUGGGAAACGAUGUGGGAAGGCCCAGACAGCCAGGAUGUUGGCUUAGAAGCAGCCAUCAUUUAAAGAAAGCGUAAUAGCUCACUGGUCGAGUCGGCCUGCGCGGAAGAUGUAACGGGGCUAAACCAUGCACCGAAGCUGCGGCAGCGACACUGUGUGUUGUUGGGUAGGGGAGCGUUCUGUAAGCCUGUGAAGGUGUGCUGUGAGGCAUGCUGGAGGUAUCAGAAGUGCGAAUGCUGACAUAAGUAACGAUAAAGCGGGUGAAAAGCCCGCUCGCCGGAAGACCAAGGGUUCCUGUCCAACGUUAAUCGGGGCAGGGUGAGUCGACCCCUAAGGCGAGGCCGAAAGGCGUAGUCGAUGGGAAACAGGUUAAUAUUCCUGUACUUGGUGUUACUGCGAAGGGGGGACGGAGAAGGCUAUGUUGGCCGGGCGACGGUUGUCCCGGUUUAAGCGUGUAGGCUGGUUUUCCAGGCAAAUCCGGAAAAUCAAGGCUGAGGCGUGAUGACGAGGCACUACGGUGCUGAAGCAACAAAUGCCCUGCUUCCAGGAAAAGCCUCUAAGCAUCAGGUAACAUCAAAUCGUACCCCAAACCGACACAGGUGGUCAGGUAGAGAAUACCAAGGCGCUUGAGAGAACUCGGGUGAAGGAACUAGGCAAAAUGGUGCCGUAACUUCGGGAGAAGGCACGCUGAUAUGUAGGUGAAGUCCCUCGCGGAUGGAGCUGAAAUCAGUCGAAGAUACCAGCUGGCUGCAACUGUUUAUUAAAAACACAGCACUGUGCAAACACGAAAGUGGACGUAUACGGUGUGACGCCUGCCCGGUGCCGGAAGGUUAAUUGAUGGGGUCAGCGCAAGCGAAGCUCUUGAUCGAAGCCCCGGUAAACGGCGGCCGUAACUAUAACGGUCCUAAGGUAGCGAAAUUCCUUGUCGGGUAAGUUCCGACCUGCACGAAUGGCGUAAUGAUGGCCAGGCUGUCUCCACCCGAGACUCAGUGAAAUUGAACUCGCUGUGAAGAUGCAGUGUACCCGCGGCAAGACGGAAAGACCCCGUGAACCUUUACUAUAGCUUGACACUGAACAUUGAGCCUUGAUGUGUAGGAUAGGUGGGAGGCUUUGAAGUGUGGACGCCAGUCUGCAUGGAGCCGACCUUGAAAUACCACCCUUUAAUGUUUGAUGUUCUAACGUGGACCCGUGAUCCGGGUUGCGGACAGUGUCUGGUGGGUAGUUUGACUGGGGCGGUCUCCUCCUAAAGAGUAACGGAGGAGCACGAAGGUUGGCUAAUCCUGGUCGGACAUCAGGAGGUUAGUGCAAUGGCAUAAGCCAGCUUGACUGCGAGCGUGACGGCGCGAGCAGGUGCGAAAGCAGGUCAUAGUGAUCCGGUGGUUCUGAAUGGAAGGGCCAUCGCUCAACGGAUAAAAGGUACUCCGGGGAUAACAGGCUGAUACCGCCCAAGAGUUCAUAUCGACGGCGGUGUUUGGCACCUCGAUGUCGGCUCAUCACAUCCUGGGGCUGAAGUAGGUCCCAAGGGUAUGGCUGUUCGCCAUUUAAAGUGGUACGCGAGCUGGGUUUAGAACGUCGUGAGACAGUUCGGUCCCUAUCUGCCGUGGGCGCUGGAGAACUGAGGGGGGCUGCUCCUAGUACGAGAGGACCGGAGUGGACGCAUCACUGGUGUUCGGGUUGUCAUGCCAAUGGCACUGCCCGGUAGCUAAAUGCGGAAGAGAUAAGUGCUGAAAGCAUCUAAGCACGAAACUUGCCCCGAGAUGAGUUCU
rnacentral:rRNA from 1 species